rnacentral:lncRNA from 1 species
UUGUUCUAGGUGAGGCCCCCUUGUUCUCCGCUUCAGCUCCGACGCCGUGUGCCCGCCCGCACCGCGCGGUUAGCGGUCACCAUCCCAGGCGAGCGCCGGCGGCUGCGGGGCCGCGAAGGGCGGAGAGAGCCGGGCCUCCCACCUCCCGCCCGAACCAACGGCCCAAGGCCGGCCUCUGCCCGCAACAAAGAUGGCGCGCGCCUCGGGCCCGCGUGCCCUGACGAAAAAUGGCCGGCGGCCUCGCUUUCCUUAGCCUUGCGGCCCAAGGGCGGCCGCUCUUGCCCUUAACCGAGAUGGCACCCGCCCGCGCUCCGCUGCCCGGCCUCCGGCCGCCGCCUGGCGGCUUCAGCGCGCGCCUCCGUGGCCCCGCCCCGUUUCCGUAGGAAGAAGCGCCGGGAAAGAUGGCGGCGGCUGCGGUUUGAAUUCCAGCGGCGCCGCCGGCGUCCGACCCGGAGCAGGGCUGGAGGGGCGGGGACCCGGGGGCCCGGGGGGCGCCGCCGCGCCCGCGCCCGCGCCCGCGAUGGACUCGAUGUUGGGAGCCGACGCCACCGUCCCCGGGACGCUCGGCGGCUGCAGUGGCCUCGCCCGCGGCUCGCCAGACGAGGUGGACGGCAUCGGCCCCGGAGCCGGCUUGGGAGACGCUGGUAAGUGCACGACGCCGGCCUUCCUCGCGGGCCGGGCCUCGAGCCUGGGGCUGGGCCUUGAGGCCCUCUGCCCAUCGCGCGGCUGCUCCCGCUUCCCCAGCCCCGCCGGGGAUUGAGGCCCCCGGGCAGCUUUCCUGGGCUCUGCUCCCCGCUGCCGGGCUCGGAGGGGUUCAGCCAGCGUUUGCGGACCGGGGCACCUGGGUGAGCCUCCCGGCGGCUGGGGGCCCAGCACGUUCCUGCGCGGCCCCCGGGGACACAGGUAGCUGCUUAGGCCGCGGGACACGCGCUGAGUGCAUAAGCGGGCCAUUGUGUUGAGGCCGGAUUAGAGGACACUUUCGGGGGGCAGCUUGGCUUUUGCGGAGCGUCCUUUAUGACUUCUGUUUCUGAAAGAAGCAAGCGCUGUCCUAAGUACCUAUGGGAAGUGCUCAUAAUUUGCCUUGUAACAUACCUUAGAGAUACUGGGACUUGUGUGUUUUCCCCUCUUCCUCAAAGUGAGGAGCCGGCAGGAGGGAGAAGUUUGUAGAACAGACAGUAUCAGGGUCGUGAGGUUUAUUUCUAGAGAAUAUUUUAACUUACCGGCCCCCUCAGGUUUUCCUUCAGAACCUGGUAACUUCUGCGUUGCACACGGAUCACGCAGUGUCUGUUGUCCCUGCACGCGGGCAGUUAGGCGUGGAAAACCGCCAGGACUGCUUUCUGCGUUAGCCCAUAGCGCAGUGCUUUGUGCCAAGCCCUGGGCUAAGUGCUGGGAAUCAGCCUUGAACACGGUUACGGCCAGGCCUGGAAUAGAGAGUCCAGCACGGAAAUGUCCUGGUGAAUCGUAUGAUCAACGUGAUGAACAAAGAGAACGAGGUGCUGGGAGGUUGGGGUGCGGGGGAGGUGUGUCCUGGCGCAGAGGAGGUGGGCCGGGCAAGAGUUUAAGACAGCGAUAUGGAGCUAAGACUUGGGGAAUGAGUGGGACCUAGGUAGGGGGGAGGGGCAUAGGGAGGGAGGCAGGGGGUAGGCAGGGAGGGAGGCACAGAGGCGGAGCAGGGCCCAUCUGAGGACUGGGGAAGAGCGAGUGUGCCCUUUG